GAUGAACGCUGGCGGCGUGCUUAACACAUGCAAGUCGAACGAUGAAGCCCAGCUUGCUGGGUGGAUUAGUGGCGAACGGGUGAGUAACACGUGAGUAACCUGCCCUUGACUCUGGGAUAAGCCCGGGAAACUGGGUCUAAUACCGGAUAGGAGCGCCUGUCGCAUGACGGGUGCUGGAAAGAUUUUUCGGUCAUGGAUGGACUCGCGGCCUAUCAGCUUGUUGGUGAGGUAAUGGCUCACCAAGGCGACGACGGGUAGCCGGCCUGAGAGGGUGACCGGCCACACUGGGACUGAGACACGGCCCAGACUCCUACGGGAGGCAGCAGUGGGGAAUAUUGCACAAUGGGCGGAAGCCUGAUGCAGCGACGCCGCGUGAGGGAUGACGGCCUUCGGGUUGUAAACCUCUUUCAGCAGGGAAGAAGCGAAAGUGACGUACCUGCAGAAG
rnacentral:rRNA from 1 species